CCCCUUCGCCCUGGGGGAGGUCAAGGUAGAGAUGUGCAAAGUUCCCUUUGGAUCCCCAAACCAACACACAGCGGAGGAAGUGCUCCUCUCCUGUGGCUCCAGUGAUGCCCAACCCCGAGGGCAUCCUGGAUGCCAUCCCUGAGGGCAACCCAGUGAUGGCACCCUGAGGGCACCAGCGUGGCACCGUCCCAGUGUCCUUAUGGAGCAUGCCCAGUGUGGGCCAUGGGAUGGUGCCAGUGCAGCUGAGCUGCUGUGUGCUGCGCAGCCCGCGUACCCGUGCUCGUGACGGUGCUACCCGUCAAUGAAUUCACACCGGAGUGCCCCAAUGGCAUCGUCUUCACUGUGUCGGAGACAGCACCUUUUGGCAGCAGCGUGGGGCGCGUGGUCGGCACUGACCGUGACCACCCACCGGACAGCCUCGAGUACAGCCUGGAGGGGGGCACCGGCCCUGCACAGCCCUUCUCCAUUGAUGCACGCACCGGUGAGAUCCGUGUGGUGGGGCCCCUCAGCCCCCC
rnacentral:lncRNA from 1 species